rnacentral:rRNA from 1 species
GAUGAACGCUGGCGGCGUGCCUAAUACAUGCAAGUCGAGCGAACAGACGAGGAGCUUGCUCCUCUGACGUUAGCGGCGGACGGGUGAGUAACACGUGGAUAACCUACCUAUAAGACUGGGAUAACUUCGGGAAACCGGAGCUUAUACCGGAUAAUAUAUUGAACCGCAUGGUUCAAUAGUGAAAGACGGUUUUGCUGUCACUUAUAGAUGGAUCCGCGCCGCAUUAGCUAGUUGGUAAGGUAACGGCUUACCAAGGCGACGAUGCGUAGCCGACCUGAGAGGGUGAUCGGCCACACUGGAACUGAGACACGGUCCAGACUCCUACGGGAGGCAGCAGUAGGGAAUCUUCCGCAAUGGGCGAAAGCCUGACGGAGCAACGCCGCGUGAGUGAUGAAGGUCUUCGGAUCGUAAAACUCUGUUAUUAGGGAAGAACAAAUGUGUAAGUAACUAUGCACGUCUUGACGGUACCUAAUCAGAAAGCCACGGCUAACUACGUG